rnacentral:rRNA from 1 species
UANNNACUCUUGANNUCNNCAGAAUUCGGCAGAGAUGCCUUAGUGCCUUCGGGAACUGUGAGACAGGUGCUGCAUGGCUGUCGUCAGCUCGUGUUGUGAAAUGUUGGGUUAANUCCCNCAACGAGCGCAACCCUUAUCCUUUGUUGCCAGCACGUAAUGGUGGGAACUCAAAGGAGACUGCCGGUGAUAAACCGGAGGAAGGUGGGGAUGACGUCAAGUCAUCAUGGCCCUUACGAGUAGGGCUACACACGUGCUACAAUGGCGUAUACAAAGAGAAGCGAACUCGCGAGAGCCAGCGGACCUCAUAAAGUACGUCGUANUCCGGAUCGGAGUCUGCAACUCNACUCCGUGAAGUCGGAAUCGCUAGUAAUCNUAGAUCANAAUGCUACNGUGAAUACNUUCCCNGGA